UACGUAGGGGGCGAGCGUUGUCCGGAAUUAUUGGGCGUAAAGAGCGUGUAGGCGGUUCGGUAAGUCUGCCGUGAAAACCUGGGGCUCAACCCUGGGCGUGCGGUGGAUACUGCCGGGCUAGAGGAUGGUAGAGGCGAGUGGAAUUCCCGGUGUAGCGGUGAAAUGCGCAGAUAUCGGGAGGAACACCAGUAGCGAAGGCGGCUCGCUGGGCCAUUCCUGACGCUGAGACGCGAAAGCAUGGGGAGCGAACAGG
rnacentral:ncRNA from 2 species